UAGAUCGGAUAUGACACACCGAGAUAGACACUCUUGGGUUGUUGGAUAUUACACACCAACAAGAACACUCAACAACUCGCGAACAAGCAGUAGAGAGAACAAAGGAAAGGUUUAUGAUAAAAGAUAAUUGAUUAUUGAUAAGGGUUUCAAUGUACACUUAUAUAAGAGAAGUUGGAACAGACUCCAAGCUUCUCGAAAACUAUCAAGAGAGUAAAGGCACACGGCUCUCUUGGAAAUAGAAACAAAUGACAAGUUUGAAAA
rnacentral:lncRNA from 1 species